AUAGCGUAUAUUAAAGUUGUUGCAGUUAAAAAGCUCGUAGUUGGAUUUCGGCGUGCGCUCGGGCUGGUCGGCCGUCAUGGUCUGUACCGUUCGGGUCACGCCCCACUGUAGGAUACUCACCGCUGUCCUUAACUGGGUGGCGGUCAAAGGGGGUAGGCAUGGGGGCAACUCUGUGCUUAUCUCUGGGGUUCCUACUCUUUUACUUUGAGCAAAUUAGAGUGUUCAAAGCAGGCAAUCGAGCCUUGAAUACUUCAGCAUGGGAUAAUGGAACAGGACUGGGGUCCUGAUUUCGUUGGUUUCUGGGAUCUCAGUAAUGAUUAAUAGGGAUAGUUGGGGGCAUUAGUAUUUAAUUGUCAGAGGUGAAAUUCUUGGAUUUAUGAAAGACUAACUUCUG
rnacentral:rRNA from 1 species